UAAAAACAAAACAUGCAUCGAUCUCAUCGAUGCUGAGAAUCUAGAUCUAACUAUUCGAUCUACCAUAGGAAUCAAAACAAGUUAGAGAUCAUUACCAAAUAAAUUUUGAUCUUAAUGUUCUCUAAUCUAAUAAUUAGAGAGGAUAUUUCUUAGGUCGUUCAUAGCCUAACAAAGUCAUCUAGCCUCUAUAGAAAAAUUCAAGCAAAGACUAAUGCAGAUCAGAGACUUGGAGAUGCUAGUUUGCAAGCAACUUCGACAGCUGAUCUCUUCCUUCUUCUACAAGCAUCUUGGACACUCCAAAGUAGUAGAGGAUCUAUAGGAGGAA
rnacentral:lncRNA from 1 species